AUUGAACGCUGGCGGCAUGCCUUACACAUGCAAGUCGAACGGCAGCAUGAUCUAGCUUGCUAGAUUGAUGGCGAGUGGCGAACGGGUGAGUAAUACAUCGGAACGUGCCCUGUAGUGGGGGAUAACUAGUCGAAAGAUUAGCUAAUACCGCAUACGACCUGAGGGUGAAAGUGGGGGACCGCAAGGCCUCAUGCUAUAGGAGCGGCCGAUGUCUGAUUAGCUAGUUGGUGAGGUAAAGGCUCACCAAGGCGACGAUCAGUAGCUGGUCUGAGAGGACGAUCAGCCACACUGGGACUGAGACACGGCCCAGACUCCUACGGGAGGCAGCAGUGGGGAAUUUUGGACAAUGGGCGAAAGCCUGAUCCAGCAAUCCCGCGUGUGUGAAGAAGGCCUUCGGGUUGUAAAGCACUUUUGUCCGGAAAGAAAUGGCUCUGGUUAAUACCUGGGGUCGAUGACGGUACCGGAAGAAUAAGGACCGGCUAACUACGUG
rnacentral:rRNA from 1 species